AACUUUCAUCCUGGCUACAGAAGUAAAUGUUCCAAAUCUCACAAAACUUGGACUUCAACUUGUUAGAAUGCAGCAGGUCAAUGAAUUUAGCAUUAUCCCAUUUAACAGUCAGUCUCUCAAAUAGGCCACUUGUGCGAGAGCCAUAUUUUCUUUAUUGUUUUUCACAUUCAUAUCAGUGCUGUUGUUUAUAUUAUUUUAUUAUUAUCUUCUAAUUAUUCCUAUAAUAAUGGCUUACUGCACAAAACAUUGAAUUGAUUAAUAGUAUCUUGUAUAGUCCACAUCUUUGCAUUACGCCUGGAUUCUUUGUUGUGAAUGCAUUGGAAAACCAUGGUGGUUUUUUUCAGACACGUGAUGGGCAUGAUUUGUGUUGACUUCAUUAGUAAUCUUCUGGCACAUGGAAUGCCAUGGGAUAGAUAGGAAAUGUUUGGCUGGAGAUUCCUUAUUGAGUACAGUCUCAAUAGAAGUCCAUAAUGAAGUUGGAGUCUCUCCAAGUGUGUAUUAUUAAUCAAGCUCUCCAAAAAUGUAUCAUGAACAUUAAUGUAUCAUAUGACUGUCUCACAUUGCUGACAGAUUUCAAAAAUAAGUGUUUAUAUAAAAUGAUCAGUUAUGAGAAAAGAUGAUGCUUCAAAUUCCAUGCUGAAACAAACUGAAUAGAAGAUCAAUGAAGCCAUAACCAUGACAUCCUUGCUGUUUGUUAUAUUGUGGACAAAGUUAAUAUAGUUUUAGCACAACUUGCCUAUGAUUCUAAGAUAAGAUAUAUCAAAAAGCUUAAAUGGUUGAUGAGAAUCCAACCCUUAAAUGGUUGAUGAGAAUUCAACCCUUAAUUGGCCUAAGGAUCAGGACUUCUCUGUUAACACAAGUUAACAGAAAAGUCCCUAAAACGUACCUGUUUUUAUCAAGAAAGCAUUGAAGUUUGGCCCAAAGUUUGUUGUAGAUGACCAAUGCAGCCUAGUUGAUGCUGUUUGUAGAAUAGAAAAACCUCCUCACUGCCAUGAAUUCCACAGAUGUCGAGAAACAGAAAAAUCAGGUGGAUGGUGAUCUGUUUAUAUUUUAAAUCCAGUAGUCAGUUCAAAAUAGACCAGCUGGAAAAAUGUAAAAAUGGAGCAGUGUAAAGAACAAGCACAUGAAUGGUUGGCUAGAGAGCAGAUUAUUGGAACCAGAGCUGACAAAAAUAGAAAUAUAGUUCUUAUCAGUAAAUUGGAGUAUCACAGACUAAUCACUGAGUAUACUAAUACUACUAAAUGCACUGUGUAUGAUACCUAACCCCAUAGAUACAGUUCAAAGAGAGAUUUAUAGAAUAGUAACCACUUGGAAGCUCUGCCAUUUAUCCAUUUGUAUGGGCAAAAUUGUAAUGCACACUCUGAGAUUGUUUGGUUUUAUUAAGUUCCACAAAGCCUCCUUGGAAAUCAGGCCUAUUAGAGAAAAGUGUACUGCUUCAACUUAUAAAUUGGAAAAGUCAUUAACCCACUUCAUUAAAGCCAAGAACACUCAAUACCUAAACAUCAUUAGUAGUUCACUCAAAUUUAAGCAUAAACUUGAAAGCAUUAAUUUCUACCCAAACAGCAUUCUACUGUAUUUAUGUUGGAUUCUAAAUCUCUCUAUCUAAGCCUCCUAUUGGAACCUGCAGUCUUGGAAUGCAGCAAUCUACUUUGCCAUUCGUCUACCACAGCAAUGGAAUUUAAAAUUUUGUCAAACCUCUCCUGCGUGGUUUGCAAAAAUACCUAUUAUAGAUAUGAUGAUAGAUAUUUCAUGCAAACUAGAGGCAUCCCUAUGAUUUUCCCUGUAAUAGGUGAACUAGCAG
rnacentral:lncRNA from 1 species